rnacentral:rRNA from 1 species
CUCGUAGGCGGUUUGUCGCGUCGAAUGUGAAAACCCGGGGCUCAACUCCGGGCCUGCAUUCGAUACGGGCAGACUAGAGUUCGGUAGGGGAGACUGGAAUUCCUGGUGUAGCGGUGAAAUGCGCAGAUAUCAGGAGGAACACCGGUGGCGAAGGCGGGUCUCUGGGCCGAUACUGACGCUGAGGAGCGAAAGCGUGGGGAGCGAACAGGAUUAGAUACCCUGGUAGUCCACGCCGUAAACGGUGGGCACUAGGUGUGGGACUCAUUCCACGAGUUCCGUGCCGUAGCUAACGCAUUAAGUGCCCCGCCUGGGGAGUACGG